rnacentral:snRNA from 1 species
AUCGCUUCUCGGCCUUUUGGCUAAGAUCAAGUGUAGUAUCUGUUCUUAUCAGUUUAAUAUCUGAUACGUCUUCUAUCCGAGGACACGAAAAAAAAAAAAAAAAAGUUUCAGAUUUUUAUUGUCCUCGUGUUUCACUUGGCGGCAGUAGCGAGGUCCCAGAGCCUCUCC